AGUGGAGUAGGUCAAGAUUGACCGAACCACUCUAAAUCUCGGUUUGCAUUUCCUUUGAGCAUUUUACCUUCACUGCAAACUUCUCAAUAGCUUACUGCCCUCUGCGAUUUUACGAACGAGUUUCAAGGUUCAGACGUAAAUCUGUGUUUAGACGUAAAUCUGCGUUUAGACAUAAAUCUACGUUUAGACGUAAAUCUGCUUUUUCGUAUGAUCAUCAUAUUGCAGAUUGCGUUUACGUUUUGAGCUUUACCAUAACUGCACACUGCCUUUAUACUCCUGC
rnacentral:lncRNA from 1 species